rnacentral:rRNA from 1 species
UGUGUAGGCGGUUUGGUAAGUCUGGUGUGAAAUCUCCCGGCUCAACUGGGAGGGUGCGCCGGAAACUGCCGGACUCGAGUGCGGGAGAGGAGAGUGGAAUUCCUGGUGUAGCGGUGAAAUGCGUAGAUAUCAGGAGGAACACCGGUGGUGUAGACGGCUCUCUGGACCGUAACUGACGCUGAAACACGAAAGCGUGGGUAGCAAACAGGAUUAGAUACCCUGGUAGUCCACGCCCUAAACGAUGACAUAUUUGGUGUGGGUCAUUCAGUUGAUCCGUGCCGGAGCUAACGCGUUAAAUAUGCCGCCUGGGAGUACAGUCGCAAGGCUGAA